GACGAACGCUGGCGGCGUGCUUAACACAUGCAAGUCGAACGGAAAGGCCCUGCUUUUGUGGGGUGCUCGAGUGGCGAACGGGUGAGUUACAUGUGAGUAACCUGCCCUUGACUUUGGGAUAACUUCAGGAAACUGGGGAUAAUACCGGCGAGGUGAGGGUGCAGGUUGGUGGUGGUCGGAACGCUCCGGCGCGUGGGGAUGGACGUCCGGUUUACCGGCUUGUUGGUGGGGUAGUGGCUUACCAAGUCUGUGGCGGGUAGCCGGCGUGAGAGGUGAGCCGGCCACAUUGGUACUACGAUACGGCCCAGACGCCUACAGGAGGCAGCAGUGGGGAAUAUUGCACAGUGGUCGGGAGCCUGAGGCAGCAACGCCGCGUUCGUGAAGACGGCCUUCGUGUUGUAAACCGCUUUCACCUGUGACGAAGCGUUAGUGACGGUAAUGGGUAAAGAAGCACCGGCUAACUACGUG
rnacentral:rRNA from 1 species